rnacentral:lncRNA from 1 species
UGGGCCAAAUCCAGAACGGGUCUCAGUCCUCUCCACUCUCCCUGGAAUCAAUGCGCUGCUCUUGUGGGUAUGACAGUGGAUUAGGAUUUGGAUUCUAUUCCUGGCUCUGCCAUGGAAUAUCUGGGUAACCUUGGCAAGGCACUUUGCCUGCUGUACACACAGAUUUUACAUCUGUUGGGCUGUUUUGGUAUGGGCGUGGCUUCCGGCUACAGUGAUACCAGCACAGUUCCUAGCCUGGAAGCAGCUAUACAGAAUGGGACGGUUGGGUUUUGUUCCCCAGGCACGAUUGGCAAGGGUGAACCCACGCAAGGAGGAACAGAAAAUCAGUUGGGUUGAACCCUCCAGCCCUACUGAGCUUCACUGACUCUGCCUUCGCUGUGGCAGUCUUACCAGGUCUCCACCGGCGUCGCACAGGUGCUGUGCCCUGUGGGGUUAGUGGGUGCAGGGCGGGGGAGGAGUUCUGCCAAAGGGACGGUCGUAACUAGAUUGAGAGCCAAGCCUGCGUCGUCUUUAAUCUGCCGAUGAAACAAAUGCGCCGUGAUGGGGGCAACAAGAAACGCAGCCCCGCCUCUCCUCUGGGUGGAUCGUUUCAUCUCCUCUAAAGCACUUUCUUGGCAGACCAGCUGCCUGAAAUUAAAGGGGGAGGAUGUCCUUUUCCUCUCCCCUAAUGGGGUCUCUGAAGGAGGUGGGGAAGCAGAGCAGAAGAGCCCGUCUGUGCUCGGGUGGAACCUGCCUGCUGCCUGCCACAGGGAGAGGGAAAGGACAGGCCCAGGAGCUGUGUGUGCCGGGAGCUUCUAAGGCUGGGAACGGGUUCUGCUGGGGGCAUAAAGAGACGAGGAAAAGGACCGGCGCUCCCUCAGCCCAGCAGUGCAUGCCGUUGUCUGUUCACUGGUCUCUGUGCUUGGUACAGAAACUGACAUGGGGCAGGGGGCAAAGGUGGGUUUAAGCAUUCUGGCAUUCUCCUACGGCCUGCCUGGCCACUGGGGUAAAUUAGCACAGCCUUAGGACUGCUCUACCUUAUUCCUAUGCUGCGCAUGGCUCCGGUGCUCCAGGGGGAACAAAAAACAGUUGUAGUGCAGCAGCUCUCCAGCCAAACCCUCUCCA